rnacentral:rRNA from 1 species
AGUGUAUUAAGGUGCAGGAGCUGACGAGUGGCGGACGGGUGAGUAACGCGUAGGAAUCUGCCUUAUAGACUGGGACAACUCGGGGAAACUCGAGCUAAUACCAGAUGAGUUCUGAGGAAGAAAGCAGGGGACCGCAAGGCCUUGCGCUAUAAGAUGAGCCUGCGUCGGAUUAGCUAGUUGGUGGGGUAAAGGCCUACCAAGGCGAUGAUCCGUAGCUGGUCUGAGAGGAUGAUCAGCCACACUGGGACUGAGACACGGCCCAGACUCCUACGGGAGGCAGCAGUGGGGAAUAUUGGACAAUGGGGGAAACCCUGAUCCAGCAAUGCCGCGUGUGUGAAGAAGGCCUGCGGG